GGUUGACCUCGGAUCAGGUAGGGAUACCCGCUGAACUUAAGCAUAUCAAUAAGCGGAGGAAAAGAAACCAACAGGGAUUGCCUCAGUAACGGCGAGUGAAGCGGCAACAGCUCAAAUUUGAAAUCUGGCUUCUUCGGAGUCCGAGUUGUAAUUUGUAGAGGGUGUUUCGGGCGAGGCACCGGCCUAAGUUCCUUGGAACAGGACGUCAUAGAGGGUGAGAAUCCCGUAUGCGGCCGGUGACUGACUCCAUGUGAAACCCCUUCGACGAGUCGAGUUGUUUGGGAAUGCAGCUCAAAAUGGGUGGUAUAUUUCAUCUAAAGCUAAAUACUGGCCAGAGACCGAUAGCGCACAAGUAGAGUGAUCGAAAGAUGAAAAGCACUUUGGAAAGAGAGUUAAAAAGUACGUGAAAUUGUUGAAAGGGAAGCGCUUGCAACCAGACCCGUCUCCGGGUGAUCAACCUCCGUUUUCGGUGGUGCACUCGCCCGGAUAUGGGCCAGCAUCGGUUUGGGCGGUCGGAUAAAGGCCAGAGGAACGUAGCUCCCUCCGGGGAGUGUUAUAGCCUCGGUGCCAUGCGGCCAGCCCGGACCGAGGAUCGCGCUUCGGCUAGGAUGCUGGCGUAAUGGUUGUAAGCGGCCCGUCUUGAAACACGGACCAAGGAGUCUAAUAUUUAUGCGAGUGUUUGGGUGUUAAACCCAUACGCGGAAUGAAAGUGAACGGAGGUGGGAACCCUUAAGGGCGCACCAUCGACCGAUCCGGAAGUUUACGGAUGGAUUUGAGUAAGAGCAUAACUAUUGGGACCCGAAAGAUGGUGAACUAUGCCUGAAUAGGGUGAAGCCAGGGGAAACCCUGGUGGAGGCUCGCAGCGGUUCUGACGUGCAAAUCGAUCGUCAAAUUUGGGUAUAGGGGCGAAAGACUAAUCGAACCAUCUAGUAGCUGGUUCCUGUC
rnacentral:rRNA from 1 species